rnacentral:rRNA from 1 species
UACGGAGGGGGCGAGCGUUAUUCGGAAUUAUUGGGCGUAAAGGGCGCGUAGGCGGCUGGGCAAGUCAAAGGUGAAAUCCCUCGGCUCAACUGAGGAACUGCCUUUGAAACUGCCUGGCUUGAGGCCGGGAGGGGGUAGCGGAAUUCCCAGUGUAGCGGUGAAAUGCGUAGAUAUUGGGAGGAACACCAGUGGCGAAGGCGGCUACCUGGACCGGUACUGGCGCUGAUGCGCGAAAGCGUGGGUAGCAAACAGG